rnacentral:rRNA from 1 species
UAAACAUAUGCUUGUCUCAAAGACUAAGCCAUGCAUGUCUAAGUUCAACAUUCUAUCGCAAAACUGCGUACAGCUCAUUACAGCAGCAAGAAUUUAUUUGAUGGUUUACUACUUGGAUAACCGUGGUAAUUCUAGAGCUAAUACAUGCUACGAAGUCCUGACUCUUAAUCUGGGAAGGGAUGUAUUUAUUAGAACCAAAAACCAACGGGUUGGCCCUUAAAGCCAGCCAGGACUUCGGUCCACAACUUUGGUGAAUCAUAGUAACUGAACGGAUCGCACAGCUUCUCGCUGGCGACGGUUCAUUCAAAUUUCUGCCCUAUCAGCUUUCGAUGGUAGCGUCUGGGUCUACCAUGGCUAUUACGGGUAACGGAGAAUUAGGGUUCGAUUCCGGAGAGGGAGCCUGAGAAAUGGCUACCACAUCCAAGGAAGGCAGCAGGCGCGCAAAUUACCCACUCCUGACACAGGGAGGUAGUGACAAGAAAUAACAAUACCGGGCCUUUCAGGCCUGGUAAUUGGAAUGAGUACAAUUUAAAUCCCUUAACGANGAUCCACUG